rnacentral:rRNA from 1 species
UACGUAGGGGGCUAGCGUUGUCCGGAAUCAUUGGGCGUAAAGCGCGCGUAGGCGGCCAGCACAAGUCAGUUGUGAAAUCUCCGAGCUUAACUCGGAAAGGUCAACUGAUACUGUGCGGCUAGAGUGCGGAAGGGGCAACUGGAAUUCUUGGUGUAGCGGUGAAAUGCGUAGAUAUCAAGAGGAACACCUGCGGCGAAGGCGGGUUGCUGGGCCGACACUGACGCUGAUGCGCGAAAGCUAGGGGAGCGAACGGG